AAAACAUCAGGACCGUCAGUCUACCGAGUAAUAUCACCCGGUCGAUGGAAGAUCUUCCCUUCGUCGU
rnacentral:pre_miRNA from 1 species